GCCGGGCGCCGUGGCUGGUGCCUGUGAUCCCAGCGGCGGGGGAGGCUGAGGCCGGCGGAUCGCUUGAGCUCAGGAGUUCUGGGCUGCAGCGGGCUGUGCCCAGCUGGUGUCCGCACUAAGUUCGGCAUCGAUAGGGGGAUCACGGGGAAGCUCGGGGUCCCCAGGUUGCCUA
rnacentral:sRNA from 1 species